CGAUCAUCAGGCAUCCACACAACAUGACCAGUCCAACGAAGUUGAUAUUGAAGAAUCAUUGCUUCAACACAGGUCAAAUUUGUCAUGGCUCUCUGGACCAUUAUUCUUCCUCUCCUACUAAUCCUUUCUCUUUCUGAUGGCUUUCCUGAUGAUGAGCGUGUUAAGGAAUGUGGAGCUCACUAUGUGGAGAUGGUUAAUAAACUAUGCCCAGGAAGCGGGGGGCUCUGCAAGAAGGGAUGAAACGUUGAGGCUCGGAAACUUGAUUUCCUUGGGAAGGAGUUGGCCUGCUCCAAGGAAGCUUGCCUUUGGAAGGUCAGGCUGGCCAAGCUGAGGUUACUGCGGCGUUC